rnacentral:rRNA from 1 species
GAAACCCGGUGAUCUAGCCAUGGGCAGGUUGAAGGUUGGGUAACACUAACUGGAGGACCGAACCGACUAAUGUUGAAAAAUUAGCGGAUGACUUGUGGCUGGGGGUGAAAGGCCAAUCAAACCGGGAGAUAGCUGGUUCUCCCCGAAAGCUAUUUAGGUAGCGCCUCGUGAAUUCAUCUCCGGGGGUAGAGCACUGUUUCGGCAAGGGGGUCAUCCCGACUUACCAACCCGAUGCAAACUGCGAAUACCGGAGAAUGUUAUCACGGGAGACACACGGCGGGUGCUAACGUCCGUCGUGAAGAGGGAAACAACCCAGACCGCCAGCUAAGGUCCCAAAGUCAUGGUUAAGUGGGAAACGAUGUGGGAAGGCCCAGACAGCCAGGAUGUUGGCUUAGAAGCAGCCAUCAUUUAAAGAAAGCGUAAUAGCUCACUGGUCGAGUCGGCCUGCGCGGAAGAUGUAACGGGGCUAAACCAUGCACCGAAGCUGCGGCAGCGACACUAUGUGUUGUUGGGUAGGGGAGCGUUCUGUAAGCCUGUGAAGGUGGCCUGUGAGGGUUGCUGGAGGUAUCAGAAGUGCGAAUGCUGACAUAAGUAACGAUAAAGCGGGUGAAAAGCCCGCUCGCCGGAAGACCAAGGGUUCCUGUCCAACGUUAAUCGGGGCAGGGUGAGUCGACCCCUAAGGCGAGGCCGAAAGGCGUAGUCGAUGGGAAACAGGUUAAUAUUCCUGUACUUGGUGUUACUGCGAAGGGGGGACGGAGAAGGCUAUGUUGGCCGGGCGACGGUUGUCCCGGUUUAAGCGUGUAGGCUGGUUUUCCAGGCAAAUCCGGAAAACCAAGGCUGAGGCGUGAUGACGAGGCACUACGGUGCUGAAGCGACAAAUGCCCUGCUUCCAGGAAAAGCCUCUAAGCAUCAGGUAACAUCAAAUCGUACCCCAAACCGACACAGGUGGUCAGGUAGAGAAUACCAAGGCGCUUGAGAGAACUCGGGUGAAGGAACUAGGCAAAAUGGUGCCGUAACUUCGGGAGAAGGCACGCUGAUAUGUAGGUGAAGCGACUUGCUCGUGGAGCUGAAAUCAGUCGAAGAUACCAGCUGGCUGCAACUGUUUAUUAAAAACACAGCACUGUGCAAACACGAAAGUGGACGUAUACGGUGUGACGCCUGCCCGGUGCCGGAAGGUUAAUUGAUGGGGUUAGCGGUAACGCGAAGCUCUUGAUCGAAGCCCCGGUAAACGGCGGCCGUAACUAUAACGGUCCUAAGGUAGCGAAAUUCCUUGUCGGGUAAGUUCCGACCUGCACGAAUGGCGUAAUGAUGGCCAGGCUGUCUCCACCCGAGACUCAGUGAAAUUGAACUCGCUGUGAAGAUGCAGUGUACCCGCGGCAAGACGGAAAGACCCCGUGAACCUUUACUAUAGCUUGACACUGAACAUUGAGCCUUGAUGUGUAGGAUAGGUGGGAGGCUUUGAAGUGUGGACGCCAGUCUGCAUGGAGCCGACCUUGAAAUACCACCCUUUAAUGUUUGAUGUUCUAACGUUGGCCCGUAAUCCGGGUUGCGGACAGUGUCUGGUGGGUAGUUUGACUGGGGCGGUCUCCUCCUAAAGAGUAACGGAGGAGCACGAAGGUUGGCUAAUCCUGGUCGGACAUCAGGAGGUUAGUGCAAUGGCAUAAGCCAGCUUGACUGCGAGCGUGACGGCGCGAGCAGGUGCGAAAGCAGGUCAUAGUGAUCCGGUGGUUCUGAAUGGAAGGGCCAUCGCUCAACGGAUAAAAGGUACUCCGGGGAUAACAGGCUGAUACCGCCCAAGAGUUCAUAUCGACGGCGGUGUUUGGCACCUCGAUGUCGGCUCAUCACAUCCUGGGGCUGAAGUAGGUCCCAAGGGUAUGGCUGUUCGCCAUUUAAAGUGGUACGCGAGCUGGGUUUAGAACGUCGUGAGACAGUUCGGUCCCUAUCUGCCGUGGGCGCUGGAGAACUGAGGGGGGCUGCUCCUAGUACGAGAGGACCGGAGUGGACGCAUCACUGGUGUUCGGGUUGUCAUGCCAAUGGCACUGCCCGGUAGCUAAAUGCGGAAGAGAUAAGUGCUGAAAGCAUCUAAGCACGAAACUUGCCCCGAGAUGAGUUCUCCCUGAGACUUAGAGUCUCCUGAAGGAACGUUGAAGACGACGACGUUGAUAGGCCGGGUGUGUAAGCGCAGCGAUGCGUUGAGCUAACCGGUACUAAUGAACCGUGAGGCUUAACCUU